rnacentral:rRNA from 1 species
UACGGGGGGGGCAAGCGUUGUUCGGAAUUACUGGGCGUAAAGGGCUCGUAGGUGGCCAACUAAGUCAGACGUGAAAUCCCCAGGCUCAACUUGGGAACUGCGUCUGAUACUGGAUGGCUUGAAUUCGGGAGAGGGAUGCAGAAUUCCAGGUGUAGCGGUGAAAUGCGUAGAUAUCGGGAGGAACACCGGUGGCGAAGGCGGCCUUCUGGACGGAUACUGACGCUGAGACGCGAAAGCGUGGGGAGCAAACAGG